GUUUCUUUACCACCGGGUAAAGGAUUCAAGCAUCAGACUUUCUAUCGUUAGGUCAUUGAAGAUAGGAAGUACUGGUGCUUUAUUUUU
rnacentral:ncRNA from 1 species